rnacentral:lncRNA from 1 species
GUACGUGCAAGAUUGUAGGUACAUGCAAGAACAUUCCUGAACAUAUUCUUUGAUAUAACUGGGUGUGUAUUGGGUAGAUAGAUCGAUGUUGAAAUUUCCUCAAAAAAGGCCCAAAAGGUUGCAAAAGCAACGGAAGUGAAAAGGUUGUCCAACCUUGCAUGAAAAUGAUGUGUCUUUUGUAUUAUAUUUUAUUUGUAAAUGAUGAACAUGG